rnacentral:rRNA from 1 species
AACGAACGCUGGCGGCAUGCCUAGCACAUGCAAGUCGAACGAGACCUUCGGGUCUAGUGGCGCACGGGUGCGUAACGCGUGGGAACCUGCCCUUAGGUUCGGAAUAACUCCCCGAAAGGGGUGCUAAUACCGGAUAAUGUCUUCGGACCAAAGAUUUAUCGCCUUUGGAUGGGCCCGCGUUGGAUUAGCUAGUUGGUAGGGUAAAAGCAUACCAAGGCGACGAUCCAUAGCUGGUCUGAGAGGAUGAUCAGCCACACUGGGACUGAGACACGGCCCAGACUCCUACGGAAGGCAGCAGUGGGGAAUAUUGAAAAAUGGGCGAAAUCCUGAUCCAGCAAUGCCGCGUGAGUGAUGAAGGCAUUAGGGUUGUAAAGCUCUUUUACCCGGGAUGAUAAUGACAGUACCGGGAGAAUAAGAUCCGGCUAACUCCGUG